UCGCUCCUACCGAUUGAAUGGCCCGGUGAAUAAUUCAGACCGCUGCAGCGAUCAACCCCUGAACGCCACAGCGGAAAGUCUGGUAAGCCUUACCACUUAGAGGAAGGAG
rnacentral:rRNA from 1 species